UACGUAGGGGGCAAGCGUUGUCCGGAUUUAUUGGGCGUAAAGAGCUCGUAGGUGGUUUGGUAAGUCGGAUGUGAAAUCUCCAGGCUCAACCUGGAGGGGUCAUUCGAUACUGCCAUGACUAGAGUGCGGUAGAGGGUAGUGGAAUUCCCGGUGUAGCGGUGAAAUGCGUAGAGAUCGGGAGGAACACCAGUGGCGAAGGCGGCUACCUGGACCAGCACUGACACUGAGGCACGAAAGCGUGGGGAGCAAACAGGA
rnacentral:rRNA from 1 species